rnacentral:rRNA from 1 species
CGUGCUUGACACAUGCAAGUCGAACGGAAAGGCCCUGCUUUUGUGGGGUGCUCGAGUGGCGAACGGGUGAGUAACACGUGAGUAACCUGCCCUUGACUUUGGGAUAACUUCAGGAAACUGGGGCUAAUACCGGAUAGGAGCUCCUGCUGCAUGGUGGGGGUUGGAAAGUUUCGGCGGUUGGGGAUGGACUCGCGGCUUAUCAGCUUGUUGGUGGGGUAGUGGCUUACCAAGGCUUUGACGGGUAGCCGGCCUGAGAGGGUGACCGGCCACAUUGGGACUGAGAUACGGCCCAGACUCCUACGGGAGGCAGCAGUGGGGAAUAUUGCACAAUGGGCGGAAGCCUGAUGCAGCAACGCCGCGUGCGGGAUGACGGCCUUCGGGUUGUAAACCGCUUUCGCCUGUGACGAAGCGUGAGUGACGGUAAUGGGUAAAGAAGCACCGGCUAACUACGUGCCAGCAGCCGCGGUGAUACGUAGGGUGCGAGCGUUGUCCGGAUUUAUUGGGCGUAAAGGGCUCGUAGGUGGUUGAUCGCGUCGGAAGUGUAAUCUUGGGGCUUAACCCUGAGCGUGCUUUCGAUACGGGUUGACUUGAGGAAGGUAGGGGAGAAUGGAAUUCCUGGUGGAGCGGUGGAAUGCGCAGAUAUCAGGAGGAACCACCAGUGGCGAAGGCGGUUCUCUGGGCCUUUCCUGACGCUGAGGAGCGAAAGCGUGGGGAGCGAACAGGCUUAGAUACCCUGGUAGUCCACGCUGUAAACGGUGGGUACUAGGUGUGGGGUCCAUUCCACGGGUUCCGUGCCGUAGCUAACGCUUUAAGUACCCCGCCUGGGGAGUACGGCCGCAAGGCUAAAACUCAAAGGAAUUGACGGGGCCCCGCACAAGCGGCGGAGCAUGCGGAUUAAUUCGAUGCAACGCGUAGAACCUUACCUGGGUUUGACAUGGAUCGGGAGUGCUCAGAGAUGGGUGUGCCUCUUUUGGGGUCGGUUCACAGGUGGUGCAUGGCUGUCGUCAGCUCGUGUCGUGAGAUGUUGGGUUAAGUCCCGCAACGAGCGCAACCCUUGUUCACUGUUGCCAGCACGUUAUGGUGGGGACUCAGUGGAGACCGCCGGGGUCAACUCGGAGGAAGGUGGGGAUGACGUCAAGUCAUCAUGCCCCUUAUGUCCAGGGCUUCACGCAUGCUACAAUGGCUGGUACAGAGAGUGGCGAGCCUGUGAGGGUGAGCGAAUCUCGGAAAGCCGGUCUCAGUUCGGAUUGGGGUCUGCAACUCGACCUCAUGAAGUCGGAGUCGCUAGUAAUCGCAGAUCAGCAACGCUGCGGUGAAUACGUUCCCGGGGCUUGUACACACCGCCCGUCAAGUCAUGAAAGUUGGUAACACCCGAAGCCGGUGGCCUAACCGUUGUGGGGGAGCCGUCGAAGGUGGGACUGGUGAUUAGGACUAA